GCCCGCUUGGCUUAGUGGUAAAGCGUCGCACUUGUAUAAGCUCUUGUGAGCAUGUGAAAUGCGAAGAUCAAGAGUUCAAUUCUCUUAGUGGGCA